rnacentral:rRNA from 1 species
ACAGAGGGUGCGAGCGUUAAUCGGAAUUACUGGGCGUAAAGCGCGCGUAGGCGGCUUUUCAAGUCGGAUGUGAAAUCCCCGGGCUUAACCUGGGAACUGCAUUCGAGACUGUCUAGCUAGGGUAUGGGAGAGGGAAGUGGAAUUUCAGGUGUAGCGGUGAAAUGCGUAGAUAUCUGAAGGAACAUCAGUGGCGAAAGCGACUUCCUGGACCAAUACUGACGCUCAUGUGCGAAAGCGUGGGGAGCAAACAGGA